CCUACGGGAGGCAGCAGUGAGGAAUGUUGGUCAAUGGACGCAAGUCUGAACCAGCCAUGCCGCGUGCAGGAUGACGGCUCUAUGAGUUGUAAACUGCUUUUGUACGAGGGUAAAACCCGAUACGUGUAUCGGGUUGAAAGUAUCAUACGAAUAAGGAUCGGCUAACUCCGUGCCAGCAGCCGCGGUAAUACGGAGGAUCCGAGCGUUAUCCGGAUUUAUUGGGUUUAAAGGGUGCGUAGGCGGUUUGAUAAGUUAGAGGUGAAAGGUCGGGGCUCAACCCCGAAACUGCCUCUGAUACUGUUGGACUAGAGAAUAGUUGAGGUAGGCGGAAUGUAUGGUGUAGCAGUGAAAUGCUUAGAGAUCAUGCAGAACACCGAUUGCGAAGGCAGCUUACCAAACUAUAUCUGACGUUGAGGCACGAAAGCGUGGGUAGCAAACAGGAUUAGAUACCCGGGUAGUC
rnacentral:rRNA from 1 species